UGAAGUGUUAGUUGUGUUUAUUGAUUCCAGUGUUGAUUAGUACAGUUACAUUCCAGUACAGACAGGAGUAACUACAGCUAUCUCUCUACUGUAACUAGAAGGGUGCGAAUAACAGCUUCAUCACAGACCACAUGGAUGUUUAACGUAAACCUGUUUUACAGAACAUUCAAGAACUCAUUUGGCAAACAGCAGCAGUGAAACAGACUGUAAUAAUAGAGUACAAAGAAAAUAUCUAUUUAUGAGAAGCAGCCAUUGCUUUGUCUCUUCAAAGCCACCAGACCACCUUAAAAAAAGAGAAACACUGAUUUUACCUCAUAAAGCUCAGGAGGUGCUGAUCUACUGUGUCCCGAUUUUAUUCAUACUGCUCUGUGAGACACAAACGGUGUGUUUGUGGGUUUGAAAAGAGGGAUCUAACAGCAGUCACCUACCACACACAUAAAAUACUGAUAAUCAAAAUAUAUAUGAGACAGUCAGCAGCAAAAACAUCAACUUAUAGUGGACACAGCCUUUACAGACUGUUUCACUGCUGCAGGCUGAAGAAAUCUACAGAAGACAUGUAGAACUAAAACUAUUUUCCAGAAUGGGCCCAGGUUCAAGACCACUAUACCAGACUAACACUGUCAAAGCAAAAGAAGUGGUGCUCUGUGAUCAGUCUAGCUUAAAUGAAUGUGUCUGAGCAGAAACAGUCUGUCCUUUAAACAAACUUCUCUCCUUUACUUUCUGGAUCCUAAGACUUCAAAUAUUCAGUUUCGAACUCGCUC